rnacentral:rRNA from 1 species
CCUAACGGGUGGCAGCAGUGGGGAAUAUUGGACAAUGGGGGGAACCCUGAUCCAGCCAUGCCGCGUGUGCGAAGAAGGCCCUCGGGUUGUAAAGCACUUUCAGUGAGGAAGAACGCCUGGUGGUUAAUACCCAUCAGGAAAGACAUCACUCACAGAAGAAGCACCGGCUAACUCCGUGCCAGCAGCCGCGGUAAUACGGAGGGUGCGAGCGUUAAUCGGAAUUACUGGGCGUAAAGCGCGCGUAGGUGGCUUGAUAAGCCGGUUGUGAAAGCCCCGGGCUCAACCUGGGAACGGCAUCCGGAACUGUCAAGCUAGAGUGCAGGAGAGGAAGGUAGAAUUCCCGGUGUAGCGGUGAAAUGCGUAGAGAUCGGGAGGAAUACCAGUGGCGAAGGCGGCCUUCUGGACUGACACUGACACUGAGGUGCGAAAGCGUGGGUAGCAAACAGGAUUAGAUACCCUAGCAGUC